rnacentral:rRNA from 1 species
GAUGAACGCUAGCGACAGGCUUAACACAUGCAAGUCGAGGGGCAGCAUAAAAGUAGCAAUACUUUGGUGGCGACCGGCGCACGGGUGAGUAACGCGUAUGCAACCUACCUAUCAGGAGGGGAUAACCCGGCGAAAGUCGGACUAAUACCGCAUAAAACAGGGGCACCGCAUGGUGAUAUUUGUUAAAGAUUAAUUGCUGAUAGAUGGGCAUGCGUUCCAUUAGGUAGUUGGUGAGGUAACGGCUCACCAAGCCGACGAUGGAUAGGGGAACUGAGAGGUUGGUCCCCCACACUGGUACUGAGACACGGACCAGACUCCUACGGGAGGCAGCAGUGAGGAAUAUUGGUCAAUGGGCGAGAGCCUGAACCAGCCAAGUCGCGUGAAGGAAGAAGGAUCUAUGGUUCGUAAACUUCUUUUGCAGGGGAAUAAAGUGGAGGACGUGUCCUCUUUUGUAUGUACCCUGAGAAUAAGGAUCGGCUAACUCCGUG